GACGAACGCUGGCGGCGUGCUUAACACAUGCAAGUCGAACGGAAAGGCCCUGCUUUUGUGGGGUGCUCGAGUGGCGAACGGGUGAGUAACACGUGAGUAACCUGCCCUUGACUUUGGGAUAACUUCAGGAAACUGGGGCUAAUACCGGAUAGGAGCUCCUGCUGCAUGGUGGGGGUUGGAAAGUUUCGGCGGUUGGGGAUGGACUCGCGGCUUAUCAGCUUGUUGGUGGGGUAGUGGCUUACCAAGGCUUUGACGGGUAGCCGGCCUGAGAGGGUGACCGGCCACAUUGGGACUGAGAUACGGCCCAGACUCCUACGGGAGGCAGCAGUGGGGAAUAUUGCACAAUGGGCGGAAGCCUGAUGCAGCAACGCCGCGUGCGGGAUGACGGCCUUCGGGUUGUAAACCGCUUUCGCCUGUGACGAAGCGUGAGUGACGGUAAUGGGUAAAGAAGCACCGGCUAACUACGUGCCAGCAGCCGCGGUGAUACGUAGGGUGCGAGCGUUGUCCGGAUUUAUUGGGCGUAAAGGGCUCGUAGGUGGUUGAUCGCGUCGGAAGUGUAAUCUUGGGGCUUAACCCUGAGCGUGCUUUCGAUACGGGUUGACUUGAGGAAGGUAGGGGAGAAUGGAAUUCCUGGUGGAGCGGUGGAAUGCGCAGAUAUCAGGAGGAACACCAGUGGCGAAGGCGGUUCUCUGGGCCUUUCCUGACGCUGAGGAGCGAAAGCGUGGGGAGCGAACAGGCUUAGAUACCCUGGUAGUCCACGCUGUAAACGGUGGGUACUAGGUGUGGGGUCCAUUCCACGGGUUCCGUGCCGUAGCUAACGCUUUAAGUACCCCGCCUGGGGAGUACGGCCGCAAGGCUAAAACUCAAAGGAAUUGACGGGGCCCCGCACAAGCGGCGGAGCAUGCGGAUUAAUUCGAUGCAACGCGUAGAACCUUACCUGGGUUUGACAUGGAUCGGGAGUGCUCAGAGAUGGGUGUGCCUCUUUUGGGGUCGGUUCACAGGUGGUGCAUGGCUGUCGUCAGCUCGUGUCGUGAGAUGUUGGGUUAAGUCCCGCAACGAGCGCAACCCUUGUUCACUGUUGCCAGCACGUUAUGGUGGGGACUCAGUGGAGACCGCCGGGGUCAACUCGGAGGAAGGUGGGGAUGACGUCAAGUCAUCAUGCCCCUUAUGUCCAGGGCUUCACGCAUGCUACAAUGGCUGGUACAGAGAGUGGCGAGCCUGUGAGGGUGAGCGAAUCCCGGAAAGCCGGUCUCAGUUCGGAUUGGGGUCUGCAACUCGACCUCAUGAAGUCGGAGUCGCUAGUAAUCGCAGAUCAGCAACGCUGCGGUGAAUACGUUCCCGGG
rnacentral:rRNA from 1 species